rnacentral:rRNA from 1 species
CAAACCCAACCCAAAUGUGAUAGUUAGGGGCUAUUUAAAGGGGGUACAGCCCCUUUAAAAAAGGACACAACCUCCACCAGCGGAUAACCCCUGUACGCCCAACCCCGUGGGCCUUAAAGCAGCCACCCCCAAAGAUUGCGUCAAAGCUCCAUCAACCAAAAACCCCAAAACCAAUGCGACUCCCUACACCCACAGCAGGCCAACCUAUAACAAUAGAUGAGUCAAUGCUAGAACGAGUAACCAGGACACUACGUCCCCCUAAGCGCCAGCCUGUAUACCAUUAACAGUAAAACCUCAAUAAUAACCACCCACCAUUGAACCCACCCUGUCAACCCAACUCAGGGGCGCACACUGGAGUGAUCAAAAUCUACAAAAGGAACUCGGCAAACCUAAGACCCGACUGUUUACCAAAAACAUAGCCUUCAGCCAAACAAGUAUUGAAGGUGAUGCCUGCCCAGUGACACCAUGUUUAACGGCCGCGGUAUCCUAACCGUGCAAAGGUAGCGCAAUCAAUUGUCCCAUAAAUCGAGACCUGUAUGAAUGGCUAAACGAGGUCUUAACUGUCUCCUGUAGACAAUCGGUGAAACUGAUCUCUCUGUGCAAAAGCAGAGAUAAACACAUAAGACGAGAAGACCCUGUGGAACUUCAAAAUCAAUAGCCACCCCACCCAACUUACCAACCCACAGGCCCACCACCUAAGACACUGGCUAACAUUUUUAGGUUGGGGCGACCUUGGAGAAAAACAGACCCUCCAAAAACAGGGCCAAACCCCCUAACUAAGAGCAACCUCUCAACGUGCCAACAGCACCCAGACCCAGUAGACCUGAUCAAUGGAC